rnacentral:rRNA from 1 species
ACGGCUCAGUAACACGUAGUCAACAUGCCCAGGGGACGUGGAUAACCUCGGGAAACUGAGGAUAAACCACGAUAAGUCACUACUUCUGGAAUGGGUAAUGACUCAAAUCUACAUGGCCCCUGGAUUGGACUGCGGCCGAUCAGGCUGUUGGUGAGGUAAUGGCCCACCAAACCUGUAACCGGUACGGGCUCUGAGAGGAGGAGCCCGGAGAUGGGCACUGAGACAAGGGCCCAGGCCCUAUGGGGCGCAGCAGGCGCGAAACCUCUGCAAUAGGCGAAAGCCUGACAGGGUUACUCUGAGUGAUUUCCGUUAAGGAGAUCUUUUGGCACCUCUAAAAAUGGUGCAGAAUAAGGGGUGGGCAAGUCUGGUGUCAGCCGUCGCGGUAAUACCAGCACCCCGAGUGGUCGGGACGUUUAUUGGGCCUAAAGCAUCCGUAGCCGGUUCUACAAGUCUUCCGUUAAAUCCACCUGCUUAACAGAUGGGCUGCGGAAGAUACUAUAGAGCUAGGAGGCGGGAGAGGCAAGCGGUACUCGAUGGGUAGGGGUAAAAUCCGUUGAUCCAUUGAAGACCACCAGUGGCGAAGGCGGCUUGCCAGAACGCGCUCGACGGUGAGGGAUGAAAGCUGGGGGAGCAAACCGGAUUAGAUACCCGGGUAGUCCCAGCUGUAAACGAUGCAGACUCGGUGAUGAGUUGGCUUUAUGCCAACUCAGUGCCGCAGGGAAGCCGUUAAGUUUGCCGCCUGGGGAGUACGGUCGCAAGACUGAAACUUAAAGGAAUUGGCGGGGGAG